CCAAAAGUUUGACAUGACAAGUCCACACAGAUCCCCCCCACCUCCUCCUCCCGUCCUCCUCGUCCUGCUCUCCCAUCGGAAAGCAAAGCUGGGGAUGUACCACCAUGAUUGCGUUUGUUAUUGAGACAGAUAUGAUGUGUUCCUCUGUUUACCUUCACUACUCAGCAAACACAACCCCUGUCCCAGCUGGAUGAAGCUGAAGCUGAAUAUACAGAGUCUCUGCUGUCUGGGAGUUUGCACUUGUACCUGUUUAUAUCACAGCUUCUCUUUCAUGUGAAAGUUUUUGCUUUGGUCAUAAUUGUUUUCAUGGCUAGAAACUUCUUAUUGACUCAAGAUGAUGGAGGAAGUGUGGAGGCCAAAUAUGUGUUUGUGUUGCUUCUUUUUUUUCUCUCCUCUAGGAAAAUUCCUGUGUUCCAUCAAGGUCAUGGUCAUCCCGACAGAGCUGAAAACAAAAAUCAGUUUAUCAAUAUUUCAGGCUGACUGUCGUCUCCAGUGAGGACAUGAGGGACUUUUUUUAGACGCAGUGCAGCGCAGACAAAACAGACAACCUGUCCUGGUUUCUAAGGCUGGAGCAGACUGGGAAACAGGUAAACACAGAAACAUACAACGUUGCUGAUUGCAGCAGGAUUUCGAUUAAGUCUGAUCGACAGUGUAAAGGAAAGUCUGUGUGUUAUUAUCCCUGAAUAUUUUUUCUUGUCACACCCCAUCCAGCUUCCUCUUCUCCUCACUGGACUUUACUGUGAUCCAGGAUGUAAUGAUAAAUAUACGUGUAAAACGAACCAACUCAAACUUAAAUCAUUAGCUUGUUUUUUCCCUCAUUACAAUUAAUCGCAUCCAAAAAUAUAACCUCUCUAAUAUUCAGUUAUUAGAGUUAAUUAAUCUUAAUCAGUGACCGAAUUAAAGCAGAUGUGCGACGAGAUCAACGAGGUAAAUAUCGAUAACGUUACUUUGUCACUUUAGUCGCAAUAAUUUCACUCCUGAAAUAUCGCGCGAAGAUCGAAACGUUAAAGAGUGAGAUUUUUUUUCUUUUAAUUUAGCAGCAGUCCGUAUUUUAUAUUUAUAUUCAGCGCCUGUCAAAAGCAUUCAACUGUUCUGUGUAGGAUGAUGAGGAUGGAGAUGAUGAUGAUGAUGAUGGAGAUGAUGAUGGAGAUGGAGGGAGUGGAUUCCGCCUUCUCCAUCAGCCAAAACUCCAAUACGCACUUGAGCCAAUUAAUUAGAAGCAGGACACAAAUAAUAUUCUUGCCUUAGUUUUAUUAUAUAUAAUAAUAUCAGCCUAAUAUCUGAGCUACCGAACAUCUUUGUGGGCCUUAAUAUCCGAUUGGAUCAGAUUACAGUACAUCUUCAUCUUCAUCCUGCAAAGCUGCAGGAAGCUAAAUUAAAGCCAGAGGCACAAAGAAACAAACUAACUCACUUAAGAUCAAAUCACUUACAUCAUCAAGUCGAUAAAAUCUGAAAUCCAUCAUCAUACAAUGAGCAAAUUCAGUGCAUAAGAGCAGCGUUAGAAAAUAACUAAGUACAUAUACUCAAGUAGAACUUCGAGGUUGUACUUAACUGGAGUUUUUCCUUUUUCCGCCACUCUAUUUCAGUUCAGACAAAUAUUGUACAUUUAACUCACUGCACUACAUUUAUUGAUAACUUUGGUUACUGGUUAGUUUAUAUAUUUAUAUUAUUUAUAUAAAAUAUAAUCAACAAAUAAAUUAUGAAGUGUUAUUGUAGGUCAAGAUAAAACUUUUAUUGAUCCUCGGGUGAAAUUCACCAGCUGCCACCCAGCAGAAAGUAAAACCAUUAAAUUAGCUGCAGCAUUAAUGUGAUAUAAACAUUAACGUAGCAAUAGUUAUAAUCCAGUGUUAUGAUUCCGAAAUGUCAACUUAAUUAGCACCUUUCCUUAGGUACCUUAAACUAUACAUAUACUUGUGUACUUUUACUUUCUAAGUCUUCUUGAGUGCAUUGACUGUAACUUGUAACAGAGUAGUUUUACACUGUGAUAUUGUUACGUUUACUUAAGUAAAAGAUCUGAGUGCUUCAUCCAUCACUGCAUAAUAAGUCUAAAUAACAAGCUAAAUAACACAGCUAAUUCCAGAGUUUAAAAUAAAAAAAUUAAAAAAUAAAAUAAAAUAAAAAAACAAUGGGCGACUAUGUUAACAGUAAUGACCAUUAACAGUCGCGGAAAUCGUGGAAAAUUAAGUUGUUUCCCAACUCUGAGUUUAUGGCAAAUAACAUUUUAAUGGAGGCAACAACUAGAACAGCUCAACUGGAAAGUUAAA